GGUAGCCUGCAUGUGCAGCGAGCCGGUGGUGGAGCGGCGCAAGGCUCAGUAACGGGCGACUGAUUUGAUCUCCCGGUGUGGACAACCUCUGUAACCGGAGGCCAAAACACAGGAGGCGCGUGACACGGGCACGGGCGUGCAACCGGCAGGUGCGGGAGAGUAAGGAGCCAUCCCAUCAGUUAGUAAGUAGGGUAAGGGCCUACUUAGACGAAGACGGGUACGGGGAAUUAGAGUUCGAUUCCGGAGAGGGAGCCUGAGAGACGGCUACCAGGUCCAAGGACAGCAGCAGGCGCGGAAAUUACCGAAGCCCGCGUUCGGGGCGGUAGUAAGGAGACGUGAAUACGAUGUGCAGGUAAAAUAUGCACUGGUAACAGGAGGUCAAGACUGGUGCCAGCAUCCGCGGUAAUA
rnacentral:rRNA from 1 species